GACGAACGCUGGCGGCGUGCUUAACACAUGCAAGUCGAACGGAAAGGCCCUGCUUUUGUGGGGUGCUCGAGUGGCGAACGGGUGAGUAACACGUGAGUAACCUGCCCUUGACUUUGGGAUAACUUCAGGAAACUGGGGCUAACACCGGAUAGGAGCUCCUGCUGCAUGGUGGGGGUUGGAAAGUUUCGGCGGUUGGGGAUGGACUCGCGGCUUAUCAGCUUGUUGGUGGGGUAGUGGCUUACCAAGGCUUUGACGGGUAGCCGGCCUGAGAGGGGGACCGGCCACAUGGGGACUGAGAGACGGCCCAGACUCCUACGGGGGGCAGCAGUGGGGAAUAUUGCACAAUGGGCGGAAGCCUGAUGCAGCAACGCCGCGUGCGGGAUGACGGCCUUCGGGUUGUAAACCGCUUUCGCCUGUGACGAAGCGUGAGUGACGGUAAUGGGUAAAGAAGCACCGGCUAACUACGUG
rnacentral:rRNA from 1 species